ACUAAAUAGAUACCCCGGUAGUCCCAGCUGUAAACUAUGCUCGCUAGGUGUCAGGGACGGUGCGACCGUUUCUGGUGCCGCAGGGAAGCCGUGAAGCGAGCCACCUGGGAAGUACGGUCGCAAGGCUGAAACUUAAAGGAAUUGGCGGGGGAGCACUACAACGGGUGGAGCCUGCGGUUUAAUUGGACUCAACGCCGGAAAACUCACCGGGGGCGACAGCAAUAUGUAGGUCAAGCUAAAAGACUUUACCAGAAUCGCUAAGAGGAGGUGCAUGGCCGUCGUCAGUUCGUACUGUGAAAGCAUCCUGUUAAGUCAGGCAACGAGCGAGACCCGUGCCCACUGUUGCCAGCAUGUCCCUCGGUAGUGAUGGGU
rnacentral:rRNA from 1 species